rnacentral:rRNA from 1 species
CGUCCUACGGGGCGCAGCAGUGGGGAAUAUUGCGCAAUGGGGGAAACCCUGACGCAGCAACGCCGCGUGAAGGAAUAAGGCCCUACGGGUCGUAAACUUCUUUAGUCAGGGAACAAAGGGUGCCACGCGUGGCGCUGUGAGUGUACCUGAAGAAUAAGCAUCGGCUAACUCCGUGCCAGCAGCCGCGGUAAUACGGAGGAUGCGAGCGUUAUCCGGAUUUAUUGGGUUUAAAGGGUGCGUAGGCGGUUUGUCAAGUCAGCGGUAAAAAUUCCGGGCUCAACCCGGUCCCGCCGUUGACACUGGCG